rnacentral:lncRNA from 1 species
GGUCUUACCAAAAGAGGUCAUGAUGAUUCUGGUACAAAGGCAGAAACAUUUGUGUCCUUGACAAUACCUUCAGGAUCCUUCCCUAUUCUCUUGGGCAUGCUUUUGUCAGAGGUGGUUGGAAGAACCUGAAAGUCAGUGAUGUUGGCACUGUGGUGGGUAUACUAGAAAGAGAAGAACUUAAUUUCAAAUUGCAAUUGACACUGACCACAUGUGCAAGCAAAGUAUUGUGAUGUGAUUCAAGGACCUCUGAGACAUCCUCCUUCCUAAAAUCUCUUCACCUCCCUCCAAAGAGUUACUGUUGUGUUAUACUGUAAAGGUGAGUGUUGUCUACUGAAGACCACAUUUAAAAUGCAUGAAAGUGUUAGUAAACUCUUUAACCCUUUUCUAGUAUCAUAUUAAAGAUUUCUGAAUCAGAAACAAGUGAGUUAGACUUAAUUAAUCCUAGUGUUCCUACCAAAUCUAAGAUUUGCUUGUUAU